ACUUGCCGUCUUAACUCCCAGAAAUGGUCUACCACCCUGACGCAAAAGCGGAAAAUAUGAAUCCUUGUAUAACAGAAAGUUUGUAUUAUUGUACAUACUGUACAUGUCAGUAUUACUCUUGUUGAUUUAAAACAAUGUUAAUAGUGUAGUAGCUCUCUGGAAAGUGGUAUGGGAAAAAAUGCAUGAGGUUCAUUUAAAAAGGACACAGUGCCCUUUCACUGUAACCAGCUGGAUUUCAGUACGUGUUAUAGUGCUGUUCAGACAAAGAAUUACUAAUAAUGAUAGGAAACACAACACAGCAGCAAAGAAAGAAAUGAAGAGCUGUUAAUACAUACAGUAAAAUAGAAAGAGUAAAUAAUAAAAACGAAAUCAAAUUUUAAAAUAUCCACAAUAAAAACUACAAUUCCCUUUAACAGGAUAUGUUAUGUAAAAGGUGUACACAGCCCACCUCUGGCUUUAACCACUCCCUUUCCUGUCUGCACCCACUCCAGCCUUUGAUAUUGCACUGUCUGAACCUCUACACCGUCUGGGGCUGAGAAUUUUAGGCUAAUGGAAAAUACUGGGGGCUUGAACAAAUGACGUGAAACCUUGAUAAGCAUAGAAACCUGACUCCUGUGAAGCAGUGGGACCAGUCCAAAAUAGCCAUCCUAAUAUUUAUUGCUUAUUAUUUAUAGUACAUCAACAUGUGAUUUGCUAUUGGCUUGAUGGUGAAUUGUUGUUAUAUUUAAAUUACAAUGUCCAGUGUGGGCUCCCGCUCAUUUAAUUUCAUUCAUGUGCAUGUAAUUUCCUUUUGCUUAGUUGGGGGGAAGGCAGGAAAUAUCAACUAUCAUGCAGCCAUUAGGUCUGGACUGGACUGCAUUCACAGCUUCUCAGCUGGUUCUGUACUGCCUAAAGCCCACUGUCUCUGCCCACACAGUCAUCAGUUCCCCAUCUGAACUUCUGCUUUUUUUGUAUUGCCUCUUAAAUACCAGGACCUCUCAGUAUAGAAACCUUAUGGUGUCUCGUGAAAUUAAUAGGAUUUGAAAACAACUCUGCAGCAUGUCAUCCUGUAACACCAACACAUAGGUGAUGACUGAAUGACCACAGACCACUCAUGAAGCUAAUAAAUGGCAAGGUUCAUGAGAGAAGCAUAGUGCGAUAACACCUUUUGAAUUUAACAUUUAAAGCAUUAGCAUGUGUACAGACAGGACCAGCUAACAAAUAGUAUGGGAGAACAGAAUAAAAAUGGCCGACAGCACACUCCUGCACCAGUUGAGCAGAGGUAGAGAUUACAGUAAAUGAGGCCAGAUCAACUGGGUGAUGUGUAGACUGCCAGAUGAGGACAGAUAUUUUUUGGAAUGUGGCCAGACACCAGGGAAUCGCUUUGAUUUAGCUAAGUUCUAUAGUAUUUUUAAUGACUACAGGGAGUCAGGGCCUCUGAUACUGGACUAACAGCAGAAACCUUUCCUCUACCUGCUUUUUUGGAGGUUUGUGCUCAGUUUCUACAUACAGGAUGUGAAAUUGAAAUUGUUUGACUGAUCUGUGAUUUUCCUUCCUUUACAGGUAUCCAAAAUGCAAAAGCCUCGAGAGAAAACCCAGUGGAUACUGGCUUGUUUACUGAAUGCACUUAUAAAAUGAGUCGAACAUCAGAAAGUCCUUUGCUGUGAGCUUAAACAGCCCUCUUUCUUUCAUUUCUUUUGGCACAUAACAUAGCAUAGCAUAGCAUAGCAUAGCAUAGCAUAACAUAACAUAACAUAACAUAACAUAACAUAACAUAACAUAAGAA